UCUCGGGUGAGAUCACCACGGAGCGGCUUAGCGCGGCGCACAAGUCUCGCGAGAGAAGCGGCGGCUGGGCCCUGCAGGCGGAGGAAGUGGAAAAAGUCGCGGGAGGGUAGGGGACCGCGGAACUUCUGGUUGCUAUGACGACGGCAAAGCCCUGGAUUCCUGUCUCCUGCGGAGAGCAGAGGCUGCAAACACUAGUCUCACUCUGUUGCCCAGGCUGGAGUGCAGUGGCGCGAUCUCAGCUUACUUCAGCCUCCGCCUCCCGGUUUCAAGUGAAUUCUCCAGCCUCAACUUCACAAGUAGCUGGGAUUACAGGGCAUUCAAGCAGCCCUGAGGAGAGGUCCACAUGGUGAGCCACUGAGGGCCUUGCCAAGAGCCAGCACCAACGGUCCAGGUUUGGAGUGUACCACCUUGGAAGUGAAUCUUCCAGUCCAGUCAAGCCUUCAGAUGACUUCAGAACCGUCCAUGUAAGCCACUCUUGGAUUCCUGACCCACAGAAACUGUUGGAGGCAUUAUCAACAGUUUCUAACAUCACAGACAGACAAACAUGUGCCUCCUGAUUGAAAAAACAGAACAUCACCUGUAGUCUUGCCAGUGAGAUCAAACUGAAGUCCAAUUAACCUCUGGAUCCAGCUGCCAAUUUGCAGGAAAUAGAGGAGAGAAGCAUCUGUUGAACUGCACCAUGAGUAUACACUCAGCAAAGGCCAAACUGUGGAAAAUGAUACAGGUCAAACAGCCUGGAUUCUUUAACAGUAAGUGAUGUUUCUGAAGCACCAAUGAAAAUGAAGUCCUGAAGUCCUGUGCUCAAUAUGAAAUGUUGGAAGUUAGAAGAAAAAAACAAAACUUGGAUCCAAUCUCAAGGCACUUUUUGUUUAAUGGGAAGAAGUGGAUUAUUUUAAAAGCUACAAAUAAAGUUACAUAAAAGUAGCAAA
rnacentral:lncRNA from 1 species